rnacentral:rRNA from 1 species
AUUGAACGCUGGCGGCAUGCCUUACACAUGCAAGUCGAACGGUAACAGGUCUUCGGAUGCUGACGAGUGGCGAACGGGUGAGUAAUACAUCGGAACGUGCCUAGUAGUGGGGGAUAACUACUCGAAAGAGUGGCUAAUACCGCAUGAGAUCUACGGAUGAAAGCAGGGGAUCGCAAGACCUUGUGCUACUAGAGCGGCCGAUGGCAGAUUAGGUAGUUGGUGGGAUAAAAGCUUACCAGGCCGACGAUCUGUAGCUGGUCUGAGAGUACGAUCGGCCACACUGGAACUGAGACACGGCCCAGACUCCUACGCGGGGCAGCAGUGGGGAAUUUUGGACAAUGGGCGCAAGCCUGAUCCAGCAAUGCCGCGUGCAGGAUGAAGGCCUUCGGGUUGUAAACUGCUUUUGUACGGAACGAAAAGCCUCGGGUUAAUACCCUGGGGUCAUGACGGUACCGUAAGAAUAAGCACCGGCUAACUACGUGCCAGCCGCCGCAGUAA